rnacentral:rRNA from 1 species
GUCCUUUUGGUAUUUAUUUAAGGUCUGACCUGCCCACUGAUUUUUUGAAGGGCCGCAGUAAUUUGACUGUGCAAAGGUAGCAUAAUCAUUAGUUUUUUAAUUAAAAGCUUGUAUGAAGGGUUGGACGAGGUAAAAUCUGUCUCUAUUAAAAUUAUUAUAGAAUUUAAUUUUUAAGUUAAAAAGCUUAAAUUUAUUUAAAAGACGAGAAGACCCUAUAGAUCUUUAUAUAAAUUUUAUUGAUUUUAAUUAAGAAUAUUUUAUUAAUUAAUAUUUUUUAUAUUUUAUUGGGGUAAUAAAAAGAUUUAAUAAAUUCUUUUUAAAUUAAAACAUUAAUUUAUGGUUAAGUGAUCCAAUAUUUUUGAUUAAAAGUUUAAGUUACCUUAGGGAUAACAGCGUAAUUUUUUUAGAGAGUUCAUAUCGAUAAAAAAGUUUGCGACCUCGAUGUUGGAUUAAAAAUUAUCUCGGGUGCAGAAGUUUGAGAUUUUGGUCUGUUCGACCAUUAAAUUUUUACA